rnacentral:lncRNA from 1 species
ACACAGAGAUUGGAGAGAGACAGGAGAGAGACAUGUUUUCAUCUAUCCUUUGUGGACUUCUGUUGUUUUUACUGCUGUGAAAUUUGACUUGCGAUAUCUGCUUAAAGCAAUGAAGAGAAAAGCUGAAGUCAGUGAUUAGGAGUGUCUGUGUAAGUAAAAGCAACAGGCAAUUACUGAGUGUGGUGUGAGAGGCACGGAAAGAUUGGGAAUUCAGCAAGAAGAGGAAUUGAAGUCAAACCUCACCUACUUCCCAGAGUCUUCUGGAUUUUCUGUUAGAAGCUUCAGUAUCUGAGGAAAGGACUCAGGCAACAAAUAAACAGCUAAGAUUUUACUAGAGUAUGAAAGGGAGAGCACUGGAGUGCAGUGCGGGGAUGGAGAUGCAGCUGUGGUGGCUGGAAGUACAGGAGGGCAGCUGGAGGCACCUGGCCUCUGAAGCCUGUCUUCUUCAUCUGGGUGAGAUCUGCUGGAGUCAGGAAGGACUUCCUGCUGCAAGGAUAAAGACCUAAGAAGCAUCAUGACCUGAGAAACAGUUUCACAGGCCACUCUUGGCAGGGUUUAGGGGUUUUGCUCUGUCACGCAGGUGAAGUGUGGUGGCGUAAUCAUGACUCACUGCAGCCUCGAACUCCGGGACUCAAGCUAAUCUCUUUCCUCAGCCUUCCCAGCAGCUGGGACUACAGAAUCCCACCCAUCCUAAGGCAUUACAUUUAGUCAUCAUAGCUCUUUCUUCACAGAAUUAGAAAAAACUACUUUAAAUUUCAUAUGGAACCAAAAAAGAGCCCAUAUAGCCAAGAAAAUCUUAAGCAAAAAGAACAAAGAUGGAGGCAUCAUGCUAACUGACUUCAAACUAUACUACAAGGCUACAGUAACCAAAACAGCAUGGUACUGGUGCCAAAACAGAUAUAUAGACCAAUGGAAUAGAACAGAGGCCUCAGAAAAACGUCACCCAUCUACAACCAUCUGAUCUUCAACAAAUCUGACAAAAACAAAUAAUGGGGAAGAAAUUCUGUAUUUAAUAAAUGAUCUUGGGAAAACUGGCUAGCCACAUGCAGAAAACUGAAGCUGGGCUCCUUCCUUACACCUUAUACAAAAAUUAACUCAAGAUGGAUUAAAGACUUAAACGUAAGACCUAAAACCAUAGAAACCCUAGAAGAAUACCUAGGCAAUACCAUUGAGGACACAGACAUGGGCAAAUGACUAAAGCAACAAAAGCCAAAAUUGACAAAUGGGAGCUAAUUAAACUAAAGAGCUUCUGAACAGCAAAAGAAACUAUCAUCAGAGUGAACAGGCAACCUACAGAAUGGGAGAAAAUUUUUGCAAUCUAUCCACCUGACAAAGGGCUAAUAUCCAGAAUCUACAAAUAACUUAAACAAAUUUACAAGAAAAAAAACAAACAACCCCAUCAAGAAGUGGGUGAAGGAUAUGAAAAGACACUUCUCAAAAGAAGACAUUUAUGUGGCCAACAAACAUGAAAAAAAGCUCAUCAUCACUGGGCAUUAGAGAAAUGCAAAUCAAAACCACAAUGAGAUACCAUCUCACGCCAGUUAGAAUGGCGAUCUUUAAAAAGUCAGGAAACAACAGAUGCUGGAGAGGAUGUGGAGAGAUAGGAAUGCUUUUACACUGUUGGUAGGAGUGUAAAUUAGUUCAGCAAUUGUGGAAGACUGUGUGGAGAUUCCUCAAGGAUCUAGAACCAGAAAUGCCAUUUGACCGAGCAAUCCCAUUACUGGCUAUAUACCCAAAGGAUUAUAAAUCAUUCUACUAUAGAGACACAUCCACCUGUAUGUUGAUUGCAGCACUGUUCACAAUAGCAAAGACUUGGAACCAAUGCAAAUGCCCAUCAAUGAUCGGCUGGAUAAAGAAAAUGUGGCACAUAUACACCGUGAAAUACUAUGUAGCCAUAAAAAAGGAUGAGUUCAUGUCCUUUGCAGGGAUAUGGAUGAAGCUGGAAACCAUCAUUCUCUGCAAACUAAUACAGGAACAGAAUGCCAAACACCACAUGUUCUCACUCAUAAGUGGGAGUUGAACAAUGAGAACACAUGAAUACCGGGAGGGAACAUCACACACCAGGGCCUGUCAGAGGGUCGGGGGCUAGGGAAGGGAUAGCAUUAGGAGAAAUACCUAAUGUAGAUUAUGGGUUGAUGGGUGCAGCAAACCACCAUGGCACAUGUAUAGCUAUGUAACAAACCUGCACGUUCUACACAUGUAUCCCAGAACUUAAAGCAUAAGUAAAAUAAAAAAAUAAUUAAAUGAGGAAGAAGAGUCAAAUUUUUGUGCAGAAAAAUUUGAAAGAAUUUAUGUAGAUACUACUUCCUCAAUGAGGAAGAGCAUAACUCUAUGCUCUUUAAGUCGGACAUGAACAUACUCAUUUCUUUCAAAAGAGUACAAUAUGAAAAGAGGGAAAAAGAAUAACUGUACAGUAAAGAAACCUGACAAUUGCUACCUUGGCCAAGUGACCCAGGUCAACAUCAACAGUGAUAGUGACGUUUAUGUCAUGUCCACUUGAAAUGAUGUGAUUAAAAAAAG